rnacentral:rRNA from 1 species
UACGUAGGGUGCAAGCGUUAAUCGGGAUUACUGGGCGUAAAGCGUGCGCGGGCGGUUUUGUAAGUCUGACGUGAAAUCCCCGGGCUUAACCUGGGAAUUGCGUUGGAGACUGCAAGGCUGGAGUCUGGCAGAGGGGGGUAGAAUUCCACGUGUAGCAGUGAAAUGCGUAGAGAUGUGGAGGAACACCGACGGCGAAGGCAGCCCCCUGGGUCAAGACUGACGCUCAUGCACGAAAGCGUGGGGAGCAAACAGG